rnacentral:lncRNA from 1 species
UUCUUCACCUAAUAGUUAUUGGAUCCAAUCUUAUCUUUAUCCCACAGCAUCUCAAGCCAAUAGAAUGUUUGCACCCUUCGAUUCAACUGAACCACUGUAUCCAAUCGAGAAUAGUCAAUACUAGACAAAUGCUUGCACAUCUAAAAUGAUGAAAGAUCACUCGACUUAAUAUCUAUAAGGAGAUUUUAUUUAGGUCUCUUUGAGUUUUAAUUAUUUA